rnacentral:rRNA from 1 species
GUGUCAGCAGCCGCGGUAAUACGGAGGGUGCAAGCGUUGUUCGGAUUUAUUGGGCGUAAAGGGUUCGUAGGCGGGAUUAUAAGUCAAGUGUGAAAUCUCCGAGCUUAACUCGGAACGUGCAUUUGAAACUGUUUUUCUUGAGUCAUAGAGAGGGUGGUGGAAUUGUUGGUGUAGGAGUGACAUCCGUAGAGAUCAACAGGAACAUCAGAGGCGAAAGCGGCCACCUGGCUAUGUACUGACGUUGAGGAACGAAAGCGUGGGGAGCAAACAGGAUUAGAUACCCGAGUAGUCC